ensembl:lncRNA
GGAGAUCCAACCAGUCCAUCCUAAACGAGAUCAGUCCUGGGUGUUCAUUGAAAGGACUGAUGUUGAAGCUGAAACUCCAAUCCUUUGGCCACCUGAUGCGAAGAACUGACUCACUGGAAAAGACCCUGAUGUUGGGAAAGAUUGAAAGUAGGAGAAGGGGAUGCCAGAGGAUGAGAUGGUUGGAUGGCAUCACUGACUCAAUGGAGAUGAGUUUGAGUGAACUCUGGGAGUUGGUGAUGGACAGGGAGGCCUGGCGUGCUGCAGUCGGACACGACUGAGUGACUAAACUUCUGAACUGAAUUCAGUGCUUGGAUGAUUAAGCAAAGAAACAUCAGGAUAGGAAACCUAAGAUGGAGCCAGAAGCAAGGUCAUUGCUGAACCUGUAUGCUGUAAGCUCUACCAUACUUGAUGAAUGUGGACAUUGGGUCCUCAACAGCCACUGCAGACUAGCAGUCUGAUUCUUUUCCAGCAUCAGAUCAGAUCAGAUCAGUUGCUCAGUCGUGUCC